CGUCCCGUAGCCGCGUCGCCGGGGUGUUCCCGGGGCUCCGGGUGUCGCAGGCACCGACCCUGCGCCGCCCCCGCUCGGCGCCGGGGCCCCGGCUGCUCAGGUCUCCGCGGCCGCCGCGCUCCGCCCCGCGCGGGCAGAGCUCUUGCCUACAUGAAUCAGUCUACACAACCUAGGGCAUCUUCUGGUACCUGAUUCUCUGAAGUUGAGCAUCUUCUUUGGAUGGCUCCUUGGGCAUCUGGCUGGCCUCUGCGAUCAUAUCUCGAAUUUUCUGUAGGCAAUCUGCCAGAUUCCGGAACUGAUAGCGGCUGCUUUCGGAGGUGAGUAUCAACUCUCCUUCCCUGUUGAUCUUAUUUUUAUGCUGAAAGAACAAAAGGAAAAAGUGGACUUCUGCAGAGUAAAGGUUUAGAAGCCGCUGAGGAAUCUGCAGGGAAAUAAAGGGAGAGUGGUUACCUUGAGCGCAAUCUUCUGCCUCACAGGCUCUGCAAUCCAGUCAGCUGUGGCCAAAUGGAAUCUGACUUCAGCCUUGGAAUUCACUGCGGAUGAAAGAAAGGAGUAGUGGUCACUGAGACUUGGGAAGAUGAGGCACCCAGGGGACCAGUGACUAUCCUGGAACCAAGGGAAGCCAGAUACCCAGCCAUGCAUGUGCUGGCCUUUGUCGAAGUUGGCCAUGGAACGAGCCCGCAAAGGCAGUGAAGCUCUUCAGGACAAAAAACCUUCUGGUAACUAUCCAUGCAAUGCUUCUCUUCCAGUUUUACUGGCUUCAGUAAAGAAUGGGGGGAAUGGGUUCCACAAGAAUGAAGGAAACCUGUCUUGGAGCUGGCUGCCAGCUCACACUGUGAGUUCUCUUUGUUUAGCUUCACAAGCCAAUCCUACUCCUAGCAAGCCAUAGCUGACAGCCUGAGAAUCAGACCACAUUCAAAAGGAUAAAGAGGAUUGUUAUAAGCUGGUGGUAUUUAAGCUUUGGCUGAAAAAAUCCCUUUAUUCCACAUGAAUGUAAAAACAGCUCCCUCUUCAAUCCCCUCUCCCAGCUAAGUUUUAAAGCAACAGAAAACA